rnacentral:rRNA from 1 species
GAUGAACGCUGGCGGCGUGCUUAACACAUGCAAGUCGAACGGGAAUUCUUUUAUUGAAACUUCGGUCGAUUUAAUUUAAUUCUAGUGGCGGACGGGUGAGUAACGCGUGGGUAACCUGCCUUAUACAGGGGGAUAACAGUCAGAAAUGGCUGCUAAUACCGCAUAAGCGCACAGAGCUGCAUGGCUCAGUGUGAAAAACUCCGGUGGUAUAAGAUGGACCCGCGUUGGAUUAGCUGGUUGGUGGGGUAACGGCCCACCAAGGCGACGAUCCAUAGCCGGCCUGAGAGGGUGAACGGCCACAUUGGGACUGAGACACGGCCCAGACUCCUACGGGAGGCAGCAGUGGGGAAUAUUGCACAAUGGGGAAAACCCUGAUGCAGCGACGCCGCGUGAAGGAAGAAGUAUCUCGGUAUGUAAACUUCUAUCAGCAGGGAAGAUAGUGACGGUACCUGACUAAGAAGCCCCGGCUAACUACGUG